UCUUUUUCUUCCCUCCCUCCCCCCUUCUCCCUCGUUGAAUGCCCUCCUUCGCGCCAGAUCAAGAAUUCGCCAGCCCCGACUUCAGUGCCAACCACCCCCUCGCCCAGCCUCAUUCGUCGUUCACUGUCCAGCCUCGGUCGUCCGUCGUUCCGAUCGAAGCUCGCCAAGCCAGCCUUCCUUCCUAGUUGCACCGCGCGAGAUUCUCCCUUCGCCGCCCGUUUCGCCUGUUGUCGCUGGUUCGCUCCUCUAACCGUCCGCUCGUGCUGAUCGUCGGUUGAGCCAGCCGACCUUCUUCAUCUAAAGCAUUGCCCAGCCCCCGUUGAUGGCUUUACUACCGGAUCUGUUGUUGGCCGCCGUCCAUUGGGAGAAGGAUAUGACUGAAGAGAGAUUUUGGAGAUUGGAAUCUUGAGGGUGGUCGUUGGGAAAUUGAAUUCAAGGAUUGGUUGAUGGAGACUAUUGUUGGGAUUAAUAUCUGAAGUUAGCUUGAGGUGAGGGUAGGGACAUGUCGGCGAAUGACAAGAGGAAUCCAUGAACGAGCCACCGGGGACCAGUUUUAUGCUUCUGCUCAUGAUAUUUAGAUUUCUUUUCAUGUUUUUUACUUUCAGUUUUGAUGUUUGAAACUUACUGUUAAGAU